AGUGAACGCUGGCGGUAGGCCUAACACAUGCAAGUCGAACGGCAGCACAGUAAGAGCUUGCUCUUACGGGUGGCGAGUGGCGGACGGGUGAGGAAUACAUCGGAAUCUACUUUUUCGUGGGGGAUAACGUAGGGAAACUUACGCUAAUACCGCAUACGACCUACGGGUGAAAGCAGGGGAUCUUCGGACCUUGCGCGAUUGAAUGAGCCGAUGUCGGAUUAGCUAGUUGGCGGGGUAAAGGCCCACCAAGGCGACGAUCCGUAGCUGGUCUGAGAGGAUGAUCAGCCACACUGGAACUGAGACACGGUCCAGACUCCUACGGGAGGCAGCAGUGGGGAAUAUUGGACAAUGGGCGCAAGCCUGGUCCAGCCAUACCGCGUGGGUGAAGAAGGCCUUCGGGUCGUAAAGCCCUUUUGUUGGGAAAGAAAAGCAGCAGGUUAAUACCCCGCUGUUCUGACGGUACCCAAAGAAUAAGCACCGGCUAACUUCGUG
rnacentral:rRNA from 1 species